CGCCCGGUAGCUCAGUGGUUAGAGCGCUGGCUUCGCAAGCCAGAGGACCGAGGUUCGAUUCCCCGGCCGGGUAG
rnacentral:tRNA from 1 species